rnacentral:rRNA from 1 species
GUAGUCGAUGGGAAACAGGUUAAUAUUCCUGUACUUGGUGUUACUGCGAAGGGGGGACGGAGAAGGCUAUGUUGGCCGGGCGACGGUUGUCCCGGUUUAAGCGUGUAGGCUGGUUUUCCAGGCAAAUCCGGAAAAUCAAGGCUGAGGCGUGAUGACGAGGCACUACGGUGCUGAAGCAACAAAUGCCCUGCUUCCAGGAAAAGCCUCUAAGCAUCAGGUAACAUCAAAUCGUACCCCAAACCGACACAGGUGGUCAGGUAGAGAAUACCAAGGCGCUUGAGAGAACUCGGGUGAAGGAACUAGGCAAAAUGGUGCCGUAACU